GACGAACGCUGGCGGCGUGCCUAAUACAUGCAAGUCGAGCGCAGGAAAUCGACGGAACCCUUCGGGGGGAAGUCGACGGAAUGAGCGGCGGACGGGUGAGUAACACGUAAAGAACCUGCCCUCAGGUCUGGGAUAACCACGAGAAAUCGGGGCUAAUACCGGAUGGGUCAUCGGACCGCAUGGUCCGAGGAUGAAAGGCGCUUCGGCGUCGCCUGGGGAUGGCUUUGCGGUGCAUUAGCUAGUUGGUGGGGUAAUGGCCCACCAAGGCGCCGAUGCAUAGCCGACCUGAGAGGGUGAUCGGCCACACUAGGACUGAGACACGGCCCAGACUCCUACGGGAGGCGGCAGUAGGGAAUCUUCCACAAUGGACGAAAGUCUGAUGGAGCAACGCCGCGUGAACGAUGAAGGCCUUCGGGUCGUAAAGUUCUGUUGUAAGGGAAGAACAAGUGCCGCAGGCAAUGGCGGCACCUUGACGGUACCUUGCGAGAAAGCCACGGCUAACUACGUGCCAGCCGCCGCGGUAA
rnacentral:rRNA from 1 species